AUGAUGUUUAUAACCUUGUUAGGGCAAAGCAUGAAGUACUCUAGGUAAAUGUACAACAUUUUUCUUUUGUUUAUUAGCUUUUUCUCCUUGGUCUCUAAUGGUAUUUGAUCAUUGUUUGAAUUGGAAUACAUUUCAUGAUCUGAUGUUUACAUGUUGUUUAAGCUUUAAUGUAAAACUCGAUGUAUGCUUUGCUAACUUAAAUUGAAAUAAUAAAAACUUAAAACGAAUUUGGUCAUAUUUUCUUAGAAUCUUUAUUAAUUAAUGUCUAUUAAACGUGUGACAGUUUCAAAGUUGAAUUUUUUAGCUAACCUUCAAUAUUGGAGGCAGAAGCUGGGCCGUUUGAGUUAUUAGUAUCAUUUCACCAAUCAAGAAAUGAGUUUUAGGCACUAAGCCCAAUUCUUUGGGUUAACCAACAUAAUAUUUUGGCACAUUAAAUUUUUGUUAAGGCUAGAUUUUACAGUAGGGUAGCCAAGCUGAAAAUUUGGGAUAAGCUGCUUGGAGCCAAUGAAGCCAGU
rnacentral:lncRNA from 1 species